AAUGAACGCUGGCGGCAUGCCUAACACAUGCAAGUCGAACGAAGGCUUCGGCCUUAGUGGCGCACGGGUGCGUAACGCGUGGGAAUCUGCCCUUGGGUUCGGAAUAACAGUUAGAAAUGACUGCUAAUACCGGAUGAUGUCGUAAGACCAAAGAUUUAUCGCCCAAGGAUGAGCCCGCGUAGGAUUAGCUAGUUGGUGGGGUAAAGGCCUACCAAGGCGACGAUCCUUAGCUGGUCUGAGAGGAUGAUCAGCCACACUGGGACUGAGACACGGCCCAGACUCCUACGGAGGGCAGCAGUGGGGAAUAUUGGACGCUGGGCGAAAGCCUGAUACAGCAAUGCCGCGUGAGUGAUGAAGGCCUUAGGGUUGUAAAGCUCUUUUACCCGGGAUGAUAAUGACAGUACCGGGAGAAUAAGCUCCGGCUAACUUCGUG
rnacentral:rRNA from 1 species